AUUGAACGCUGGCGGCAGGCCUAACACAUGCAAGUCGAGCGAGCGGCGGACGGGGGAGUAAUGUAUGGGGACUGCCCGAUAGAGGGGGAUAACUACUGGAAACGGUAGCUAAUACCGCAUACUAUCGGAUAACCCAUAUGGGAUUAGCUAGUAGGUGAGGUAAUGGCUCACCUAGGCGACGAUCCCUAGCUGGUCUGAGAGGAUGAUCAGCCACCCUGGUACUGAGAACCGGCCCGUCCUCCUCCGGAGGCAGCGGUGGGGAAUAUUGCACAAUGGGCGCAAGCCUGAUGCAGCCAUGCCGCGUGUAUGAAGAAGGCCCUAGGUUUGUAAAGUACUUUCAGUCGGGAGGCGUUACCGACAGAAGAAGCACCGGCUAACUCCGUGCCAGCAGCCGCGGUAAUUC
rnacentral:rRNA from 1 species